CACAUGGGGUGCAAGCGUUAAUCGGAAUUACUGGGCGUAAAGCGUGCGCAGGCGGUUUUGUAAGUUUGUCGUGAAAUCCCCGGGCUCAACCUGGGAAUGGCGAUGAAGACUGCAAGGCUAGAAUCUGGCAGAGGGGGGUAGAAUUCCACGUGUGAGCAGUGAAAUGCGUAGAGAUGUGGAGGAACACCGAUGGCGAAGGCAGCCCCCUGGGUCAAAACUGACGCUCAUGCACGAAAGCGUGGGGAGCAAACAGG
rnacentral:rRNA from 1 species